CCCCUCCCUGUCCGCCUAGCCCUCCCACAUUCCUGGGACUCGGGACCCGGGACGCUGCUCCACUGUUCCAGAGCCACGAGCUAGUAUGGAUGGACGCUGGGCCAGGAAGUCAGAGAGCCUGCACAGAAGCUGGUCCAGUGAUUAGAGCCCCAGCUGUGGCAUAUGGCAAGCCCAGCUGUGCUAUAUACUAACUGUGUAAUCCUGGUUGUGUGACUUGGAGAGAGAUGCCUCACCUCUCUUGACCACUCUAUGCUCCUGUGUAACAGGAAGAUACUACGGGUACCUGUCUACCGAGACUUGCCUGGCGAUUAAAUGAGAUCAUGGGUAAAGUCCCAAAGAGGGUGGGACAUAAGGUGAGCCCAUCUGGCAGCUGUCAUCACAAGUCCUGAUCUGAAAGGAGUUACAAAUUACCACGAAUACUGCUACUGUGCCCAGGCUCACGAGAGGAAACCAAAGAGCUCUAUCUACUGCACCUAGAAGUAAUGACAGACAGUACCAAACCAAGGCAUGCUAGGGAGGGAAAGA